ACAGCUGCUUAAUAACAUAGAUAUUUGUAUGUUCUUUGUUUUACAGCUAUAGCAUUGUGUCAAGGGGAAGUAGCCAAGACCAGAAGAGCUGUGUCACUCCUUUAAUUAGGUGUCAGAGAGAAGCUGAAAUGAAUUCAGAGCUACACGUUCUCCAUUAUUCAGGGCUUAAGUAACAGAGUGCACUACCAGAGAUUUCCAAACAUUUUCCUAUUCAGAGUAUAAUUUAUUAUCUAAACUGGGAUACAUGAAGUGAAAUACUAUCAUGACUCCAAGGCACCAGGCAU